AGUGAACGCUGGCGGUAGGCCUAACACAUGCAAGUCGAACGGCAGCACAGUAAGAGCUUGCUCUUACGGGUGGCGAGUGGCGGACGGGUGAGGAAUACAUCGGAAUCUACUUUUUCGUGGGGGAUAACGUAGGGAAACUUACGCUAAUACCGCAUACGACCUACGGGUGAAAGCAGGGGAUCUUCGGACCUUGCGCGAUUGAAUGAGCCGAUGUCGGAUUAGCUAGUUGGCGGGGUAAAGGCCCACCAAGGCGACGAUCCGUAGCUGGUCUGAGAGGAUGGUCGGCCACACUGGAACUGAGACACGGUCCAGACUCCUACGGGACGCAGCAGUGGCGAAUAUUGGACAAUGGGCGCAAGCCUGAUCCAGCCAUACCGCGUGGGUGACGAAGGCCUUCGGGUUGUAAAGCCCUUUUGUUGGGAAAGAAAAGCAGCAGGUUAAUACCCCGCUGUUCUGACGGUACCCAAAGAAUAAGCACCGGCUAACUUCGUG
rnacentral:rRNA from 1 species